UGGGCCCUGUGCUCAGGCCUUGUGCUCUGUAUGGAGCCAAAUAUGUUUGGCUGCUAAAGGAAGAGUGUGGCGGAGGGAACUGCAGCUGGCGAGGCGUUGCAUCCAGGUUAUUUUGGGUGAGCAAGAGGCGAACAGAUAGGCUUUGGCAGCAGCUUGUUGACUGGGAUCUGCAGAAGACAGGAAUGGGCUGCUGCUUGGCUUUACGGCAAACCGAGCCACUCCUUUCCCCUUUGGGGAGAUGGCCUGUCUCUCCAGAGCUUUAACCUGACAAUGCCUAAGGUUCUUCUGUUCAGGUUUGAAAAACUUUAAUAAAUUCCCAUUUGUACCAGUCGUCAGGAGCCUGCUCUGGGGUUCCCGCCCCGGGCAUCAGAAGAACGUGUUAAAAUGCAGAUUCCUGGGCCUAGCCCAGGGAUACUGAUUCAGCAGGCCUGGAGUUGAGACCCUAGAAUGCACAUGUGAACGAGGACCACUCAUGCUGACUCAAGCCCAGUGGUUCUGAUGGAUGUCAGUCCUCAUUUAGAGAAGCAUCUAGCUGAUUUCAGUACCACUUUGUCAGGAGGCCUGGGUGAGAAAGUGGAAGACGCCGGUCCUGGGGGGUGGCGUGGGUCAUAUAUGCUUCACUCUGGCUUCAUGUUAAGACUGAGGUCAGAUGGAGCAGUUUUAGGGCAGUGAAUCUCUUCUGUGUCAUCCUGCCACAGUGUAUAUGUGAUGUCUCUGUUCAACAUACCACAAUGCCCCCUCAAAUCAGCUAUAAGCUUUGGUUGGUAACAAUGUACCAGAUUUGGUUCAUCAUUUGUAACAAUUCACCACACCAGAGCAAGAUGGUAAUAAUGGAAAACAAUGUACCAGUGUUGGUUUAUCAUUUGUAACAAUUUAUCACACUAGUGCAACAUGGGGGAACCCUUUGUACUUUCUGCAAAACUAAAAUGGCUCUAAAAAUAAAGUUGAUUAGUAAACAACAAAAUCCCUGAGGCCCCAGAGAGAUGAGGUCAGAUACCAAGGGCUAGGAAAUGCUGGAGACAGAAUAAGAACCCAGGCAGGCGUGACUACUGUGCCAAAGGCCCCAGACAAAUCUGGUCCCCGGGGUUGCCUAGCCUCCCUCCUGUUGCCUGGCUCUCCAGCCCCUUCACUGCUGGCUGUGUCCAUGGGCCAUUCUCUCCCAUGGAGAAGAUGGUUGUCAAUACAGGGCAAGUCCUUGGCUGGGACUGCCCACAUCCUGCCUUAGCUCUGGCCUUCCCAGUUACUAAGCUGACCCAGGUUCCAUGAAUCUAAACCCUUCUAAGUCUUCUUCUGAGACUCCUCACCAGCUCCAAGGAAAGGGUCCCACCUUUUCAGCCUGGCAUUCACAGCCUCCAGCACCCUCUCUAACCUCACCAAUCUCACUGCCUCCCAUGGUCCUCAAGCCAGUGUGGCCUGCUGCAGGACAACCAGUCCUGGGGUCCACCAUAAAACUCAGCCCACACAUUAUCAGGUUAAAGGCUCUGACAAGUCCCAAAGAAAUAGAGUUCUGUUCUAGUUUCUUUAAUCCAGAGCUUCCCAAAUGUGCUGAGCCAGAGGACCUCAUUUUCUCCUGACAGUGCCACAUACUCAGCCCUCUACUCAGCGCAGCCCAGCUCAUAGGUCACCACACUGCGUCUCCCCAGCAGGCCUAGAGCCUGCACUUCCCUCUGCUUAGCACGCCUUCUACCCCUCUCAGUAACAGGGGUUCAUUUGAUGCUUUGACUACACCCUUUGUGACUUUGAAACUUGCAUGUUGUUGUUUUUGUUUUUCCCAAUCUUCUUUUCCUUAAACUUCUCCCUGAUCUCAUUUUCUCUGUAAAAGCCCCCUGUUCUUGCUGAUGGGCAGAAUCACAGCCUUUGGAACAGGAGUCCCCUGUGUUUCUUCUUUGCUAGCAAAACAAUAAAC
rnacentral:lncRNA from 1 species